AAAGAGACAUGGGAAAAUGGGGCUGCUUAAAGAGACUUUUCAAGAAAGGGCAGCAAAACAUCUUUCCUCCUCCUGAGCCACCUUAGAUGGGUUGCAUUGCUUCUGUGACUGUGGCAUGGGACAUGGGUGUCUCCUGUACACUUGAGUUCUGCUGUGGGGAAGCAAACUGGUUUCUGCUUGAUCCAUCUUGAAACUCACUUUCAGCAGGUUUAACUAACACCUUUGUUUAAAAAUAAGUCUGGCUGCUAGAGCUUUGUCUAGCUUGGGUCUGGACCUUUUUUAAACAAAAGCAUUGGCUAAACCUGAUGAAACAAAGUGCAUUUUCUCUAAGAAGAAAAGGAGGUAUCCCUCAGCCAGCUUCCACAGUGGCUCUAUGUAUGGAUUCUUCCCCCAGUGAGAAAAUAAAAUGCCUAGAGCAUCCAAAUCUGAAGCAAGCUUGUAAAUUAGCUUCUUCUCCAAAUGCAGAAUGGUAAGUGGAAGAGAUUAGCAGAGCUGGGGGACACAAGUUAUGCUAGCUACAGGCCCAUCUGUUCUGUCUGGGUGUUAAGUAGAGAGGUGUUAAGUAGCCAAGGGCAGUAUCUUCUUUUGGGCUGAAAGACAGGAGGCUCCUGUAGGCUGCUUAUAAAGUGAGACCAUGGCAAGUCUCCUUUCUGUCCGUUGCCUACCAUGAGGUUGAGUGUCCUGCACAGCAGAAAGGAGCCAAGAUCUCCUCUACUUUGAAACUCCAUCAUUCAAACCUCGUCUAAGCAUGCAUUCACAAUAAUUUGUCACAUUUUAUGUUUUUUUAGGCUCAGUAUGUUGCAUUUCAAGUUUAGGGGGCUGUUUCUCAAUAACCUAAAUAGUAACUGACCAUAUCGCUGUGUAACUGAGUUGGCCUAAGGCUGUGCCGCCUCUAGCCAUUGUUGGUGGCUAAACUUUAAACGUAGCCAGAUGUAAUGCAUCGACUGGCAGGGCAGUUUGACAGUGGAAAACAACAGGAGAUCAGCUAUAGACAUCUUUUGGAUCUAGAUUGUACGCACGGGGCCUAUUCUUGAAAAUAAUGUUUCCUUUGAUUUGUGCAGAGUGUAAACAGUAGCAAUAAUAUUGUUCAUUUAAUGCACACCCAAACACUAAAUCGUACCUGGUUACGUACUUCGUAUCAGUAUGCUGCCUUCUUGCAACAGACGUGGAUUUAUCUAAGGUCCCAGGAGAGCUUUGCUGAACCCUUUGCUACCCUAACGUACAGAAGUACCAGUAGCUCAGCAGGUGAUGUGGAGGAUUUUGUGCCAUCUCAGUAUUGGCAUUUGAGGAACGCAAGGCUUAAAAUGCAGCAUGGCUUGCGAAAGAUGCAAGAAUAUGUCUGCUUACCAAGAUCACUUUAAAGACUUUGAUCCAGGAGCACACAGAUGGCAGAGGAUGGAAGGAAAACUAUAGAGAAGGAGAUUGGGACUGGGUUUGGUUGUUCACUUUUUGCUUUUGGAAUCCUGUUUGAUCAAUUCAACAAUAAAUAUCUCAGGAUGAGAUGUUUUGCGCAUGGGUCCCAAUUUAGCAAAGCAGUUCAAUGUACGUCCCUAAGUGAGCAAAACACCCAGGACAUGGUGAAGUGCUCUGCCAAAUCUGAACUUUGUUUGGAUUGAUUAUCAGAGGCGGUUGAUGCCCAGUUCUCAGUGACUUCAUUUGACGCUGAAGGUAUGCAGCCUCGCAUAGGAUUGGACUUACCAAAAAUGCAAACCAUGAACUGCUGCAAUGCGUCUCUGGGACUGGAAAUGCAGCACCAGGCGUUAGGCUAUGUCAUGACUGACAGGUGCACUGAUGCAAGAAUAUGCAGCUGUCUGCUCCCUUCCCGCCUCCAGCAAGCGCCAGCUUACAUGGCAUCUUCCUGGUACUGCACAUACUGCACAUGGCUGUAGUCCUAUCUACACUGGUUUUAUUUUCUUCUAUUUCCUUCCAUUUUUGUACAUGCCCACAUCUUCCUGUACUAGGUCAAGAAAUGACUCGUGCCAUCAGCAGUUUGGCUUGUUUUUAAUAAACAUCUUUCUGCCUCAA